rnacentral:rRNA from 1 species
UACGUAGGGAGCAAGCGUUGUCCGGAUUCACUGGGUGUAAAGGGUGCGCAGGCGGAUUUGUAAGUCAGAGGUGAAACUCUCACGGCUUAACCGUGAAACUGCCUUUGAUACUGCAGAUCUUGAGUUCGGGAGAGGUGAGUGGAACUGCGAGUGUAGAGGUGAAAUUCGUAGAUAUUCGCAAGAACACCAGUGGCGAAGGCGGCUCACUGGCCCGAUACUGACGCUGAGGCACGAAAGCGUGGGGAGCAACAGG